GCAUAUAUAGCUCAGUAGGUCAGAGCCUGGUGCUAAUAAUGCCAAGGCUGGGGAUUCAAGCCCUGUAUAGGCC
rnacentral:tRNA from 1 species